UUCGGAAGGACCAUCACCUGACUGCCUGCGUAGCUCCUCUGUCGUGAGGUGAACGUUCUCCACGGCUCUCCGUUUUAACUUCACCUGGCUUGUAUACUGGCCAUUCCUAGCCUACUGUGUUCCUGACCGGCUGUUUUGCUAUCUGAUGUUGGUGUGAUGGGGAACAGAACCUUACUCACAAUACUCCAUAUUGAUGAGGUA